rnacentral:rRNA from 1 species
GACGAACGCUGGCGGCGUGCCUAAUACAUGCAAGUCGAGCGAAGUUUUUCUGGUGCUUGCACCGGGAAAACUUAGCGGCGAACGGGUGAGUAACACGUAAAGAACCUGCCUUAUAGACUGGGACAACUAUUGGAAACGAUAGCUAAUACCGGAUAACAGCAUUCACUGCGUGGUUGAAGUUUGAAAGUUUGUUUUGCUAACACUAUGAUAUGGCUUUGCGGUGCAUUAGCUAGUUGGUGGGGUAAAGGCCUACCAAGGCGACGAUGCAUAGCCGACCUGAGAGGGUGAUCGGCCACACUGGGACUGAGACACGGCCCAGACUCCUACGGGAGGCAGCAGUAGGGAAUCUUCCGCAAUGGGCGAAAGCCUGACGGAGCAACGCCGCGUGAGUGAAGAAGGAUUUCGGUUCGUAAAGCUCUGUUGUUAGGGAAGAAUGAUUGUGUAGUAACUAUACACAGUAGAGACGGUACCUAACCAGAAAGCCACGGCUAACUACGUG